GAUGAACGCUGGCGGCGUGCCUAAUACAUGCAAGUCGAGCGAACGGACGAGAAGCUUGCUUCUCUGAUGUUAGCGGCGGACGGGUGAGUAACACGUGGAUAACCUACCUAUAAGACUGGGAUAACUUCGGGAAACCGGAGCUAAUACCGGAUAAUAUUUUGAACCGCAUGGUUCAAAAGUGAAGGACGGUCUUGCUGUCACUUAUAGAUGGAUCCGCGCUGCAUUAGCUAGUUGGUAAGGUAACGGCUUACCAAGGCAACGAUGCAUAGCCGACCUGAGAGGGUGAUCGGCCACACUGGAACUGAGACACGGUCCAGACUCCUACGGGAGGCAGCAGUAGGGAAUCUUCCGCAAUGGGCGAAAGCCUGACGGAGCAACGCCGCGUGAGUGAUGAAGGUCUUCGGAUCGUAAAACUCUGUUAUUAGGGAAGAACAUAUGCGUAAGUAACUGUGCACAUCUUGACGGUACCUAAUCAGAAAGCCACGGCUAACUACGUG
rnacentral:rRNA from 1 species